GCUCGUAUAGCUCAGUUGGUUAGAGCUUCGUACUAAUAAUGCGGAGGUCGCAGGUUCAAGCCCUGCUAUGAGCA
rnacentral:tRNA from 1 species